UUAACACCUAAUUCAAAUUAAACCUCACUAAACUAAAAAAUAAAACGCUAAUCAGAAAGAGUAAAAAAGGAUUAGGGUUACUUUGGCUUGUGGCUUAUCAGAUUAUCUCCUUCCCCUCUUCACGUCUGAGAUCAACGGCGGCCGGACUUCUCUCUCCGAUCAAAUCGCAGCAAUUGAGACAAAACUGCGGAGACUCCCUCCAAUCUCUCGCUCGACUCCAUCUUUCUCGUGGCCGACGGAGUUCUCUUCCUCCAAGCUCUCUUCUCCGGCGAAGUGAUCUCAGCACCUCCGUGAAUGACGACUUUGCCCUCAUCUCCUCGUCACGCACUUCGCUUUCGUUGAUAUUCCGCGCGAUUUGUCGUUGUGGUUGCAAUUCCGUGGAUGAACGAUAUGAAGAUUGUUGCUGUGGUGAUGAUGAAACUCGCGGUGAGGUCUAAGUUGUUGAUGAAGACGAUGAUUGAACAGAGCAGUAGUGGUGAUCGAAGACUGAAGGUAAGAGGAUCCCGGAGGAAUCUUGAUUCAGAUGAAGAAGAAUUGAAGUCGUUGCUUGAAGGUUGCUUCGGUGAAGAUGAUGAUUCUCGGUUCAGAGAGGGAAGAUUGAAGAGGUGAAUGGAAUUGAUUGAUGAUUGGAUGGAGAGAGUUCUUAUGAACGUUGAAGAUUGAUCAUGAUUGACGAUGAGUCAGGCUUCGGUUGCAAAGAGAUGAAGAUGAAGAGGUUGAUUGAAUCAGUUGAAGAGAGAUCGAUGGAGGAGAUUAUGGUGAUUUUUUUCUGUGGAGCUUUUUGCUGAAUUUUUGACGGAGAAUUGAGUGAGUUUGAUUGAAGGUGAUGAACGCGGUUCCGAGGGAGAGGAAGAGAGUUUGUUACGUUUUUGGUCCUUCUCCUCUUUUCCAAUUAUGUUAUGCUGAGUUUGUUACCUUUUCGUUUCUCUAUUUUUUCUGUUAUAAAAUCUUCCUCUCCUGAUUUUUCUCGGCAUUUUUCUGUUAACAAUAUCCGAAUCGGUUCUCUUGUACUGCAAGUGUGAACCGAUUUAUUUUCUUUUUAUUGUGCAAUCCAGUUUCGGUUUUAUUUGAUAUGCAGGUUCUGUUCUUAUUUGUGCAGGCUACGGGUCUCGGCUUUUUUACAAAGCAUGGUUGCAAGUUGGGGACUGUUUCGGAGCACGGAUGCAUCAAAUUUUGACAAGUCGUGAAUUCUUUUGAAGCUUGGCACAAAUGUCUGAGGGCCUUGGGUGUAGUUUUAGAUUUUAGAACAUGAAAUGCACCCUUUCUUUUUGUGAUUCUUCAGUGUAAUGGCACCACAGAUUGUAAUAUUGAAGAGAGAUAAUGAAUGUAAUUGAUGGAACUUUUGAA